rnacentral:lncRNA from 10 species
UGACUUUUCGCCGGAGUCGUCCCUUUUGCUGCCAGUCAGGCCCCCUGCUGUGGCAGUGAUGUCCUCCUCUGCCUUGGCUGGCUGGGCCCGCCGUACCUCCUUGCUGUCGAGUGUCCUGGGAGCAUGUCUGUGAGGCAGAUCCUAACGUAUUUUUCAAAUACUUCUGGAGACACAAGAGGGGAUUUUGGCCCAUUAUAACUGGCACAUUUCUGAUGCUUUGGGCUCUUCCUGCCUCUUAUUUUGUAUUUCGUAUUUAUCUUACCUUUUGUUUGUUUGUUUGUUUUUUGAGAUGGAGUCUCGCUCUGUCACCCAGGCUGGAGUGCAGUGGCGCGAUCUGGGCUCACUGCAACCUCCGCCUCCUGGGUUCAAGCUACUCUCCUGCCUCAGCCUCCCGAGUAGCUGGAGUUACAAGUGCCCACCAUCACGCCCGGCUAAUUUUUGUAUUUUUAGUAGAGACGUGGUUUUGCCAUGUUGGCCAGGCUUAUCUCGAACUCCUGACCUCAGGUGAUCCACCCGCCUUGGCCUCCCAAAGUGCUUGAAUUAGAGGUGUGAGCCACUACACCUGGCUGUAUUUAUCUUACUUUUAAAAAACCCUUUAUUUUGAUUGAUUGAUUUAUCAUGGGUUAUGUUUGUUUAAAUUUUGUUUAUUCUCCUUUGUUCUCCCCAUACCGCCUUGGUUGAAGUUUUCAUAUCAGCCCUGGUCCCGCUGCAAGCUUGGCCCACGGCCUCCACUCCCGCCCGCCACCCAGCCUGCCAGGUUUGGUGGAAAUCUGUGAAUGUAGCUUCCGACUGUUACUGUUUUGGUGAAGUCUUGAUUGCCUUUCUUAGAAAACUGCAAAGAUGGAAAUAAACUCACGGGCCACCCUUCCUGCCCGCAGCGACAGUCAUGUUCUGCGAGGACUCUGUCUCCUCUGCUUGCCUCCGUGCACCCUGCGAGGUCACAGGCCCCUCCUUUGGUUUGCUGGGGACACGCUGAGACUGUAUUUAGAGAAAGGGUCUGGGAGAGAGAAACUCCUGCCCCUUCCCCCUGGGAUGGUUGCCAAGGGGUUGAGACAGGCACCCCAUGGAAUGUGGGGAGCAUCUGCUCCGGGUCCACCAGCAAGAGACGUUGAAUGCCAGUGUGUUUUGAUCUCUGUUUUUAAAAUCUCAGGCCUUUUGGGAUGAUUUCUUUGAUGUUCUGAAGCGACGGUUCUGAAAUGCCGCUAGGUGGGGCUCUCUUCAUUGACCUGAUGAGCCUUUCGUUUGGGACGCGUUUCUCAGGGAAAUUCUUUUUCUGUUCUCUUGGUCUGUUUUUCCUAGUAUAGCACGCAUAGUAAAGUGCAUGAAAUGUGCUGACCUUCCAUGAACCACCUGACAAAUCCACAUGAGUCAGGCCUGCAGCAGCUCAGAAAGCACCUGCUGCCCACUGGCUUCACUUGGUUUUCUGCUUCAUACAGUGGGAAUCAUAUAGAAAGGAAUUUAAAAAAAAAAAAAAGACUUGUAAUUUUUAGAGCAUUUUAGGUUCACAGCAAAAUGGAUCGGCAGAGAGUUCCUGUAGACUCUGAGCACCUCCCACCACACAGCUUCCCCUGACCCCGUCAGUGCCCCCCUCCACUGUGGUGCACGAGCUGCAGUCAGCCGCCCCACAUCGACUCAUCAGGAUCACGCAGGCUCUGUCCACACACCCGGGCUCAGGAUCACGCAGGCUCUGUCCACACACCCGGGCUCAGGGUCACGCAGGCUGUAUCCGCACACCUGGGCUCAGGGUCACGCAGGCUGUAUCCACACACCCGGGCUCAGGAUCACACGGCCUCCACCUCACACCUGGGCUCAGGAUCACGCAGCCUGUAUCCACACACCCGGGCUCAGGGUCACACAGGCUGUAUCCGCACACCUGGGCUCAGGAUCACGCAGGCUGUAUCCACACACCCGGGCUCAGGAUCACACAGGCUGUAUCCACACACCCGGGCUCAGGGUCACGCAGGCUGUAUCCACACACCCGGGCUCAGGAUCACGCAGGCUGUAUCCACACACCCGGGCUCAGGAUCACACGGCCUCCACCUGCACACCUGGGCUCAGGAUCACGCAGCCUGUAUCCACACACCCGGGCUCAGGGUCACGCAGGCUGUAUCCACACACCUGGGCUCAGGGUCACGCAGGCUGUAUCCGCACACCCGGGCUCAGGGUCACGCAGGCUCUGUCCACACACCUGG